rnacentral:rRNA from 1 species
GACGAACGCUGGCGGCGUGCCUAAUACAUGCAAGUAGAACGCACAGUUUAUACCGUAGCUUGCUACACCAUAGACUGUGAGUUGCGAACGGGUGAGUAACGCGUAGGUAACCUGCCUGGUAGCGGGGGAUAACUAUUGGAAACGAUAGCUAAUACCUCAUAAUAUUAAUUAUUGCAUGAUAAUUAAUUGAAAUGUGCAAUUGCACCACUACCAGAUGGACCUGCGUUGUAUUAGCUAGUAGGUUAGGUAACGGCUCAACUAGGCGACGAUACAUAGCCGACCUGAGAGGGUGAUCCGCCAAAAUGGGAACGAGAACACGCCCCGACCCCUAAGGGAGGGAGCAGUAGGGAAUUUUUCGCAAUUGAGCAAAGUCUGGCCGAGCCAACGCGCGGGAGUGAAGAAAGGUUUCGGAUCGUAAAGCCCUGUUGUAAGGGAAGAACGGGUGUGAGAGUGGAAAGUUCACACUGUGACGGUACCUAACCAGAAAGGGACGGCUAACUACGUG